GCCUGCAACAUCCCCGCGGAUCGGGAUUCUAUGAGAAUAUUUCUGAAAACUCAAUAGAAUCAGUGGAUUCGCUGCUGGC
rnacentral:sRNA from 1 species